rnacentral:rRNA from 1 species
AGUCGAGCGAACUGACGAGGAGCUUGCUCCUUUGACGUUAGCGGCGGACGGGUGAGUAACACGUGGGUAACCUACCUAUAAGACUGGAAUAACUCCGGGAAACCGGGGCUAAUGCCGGAUAACAUGUUGAACCGCAUGGUUCAACAGUGAAAGACGGUCUUGCUGUCACUUAUAGAUGGACCCGCGCCGUAUUAGCUAGUUGGUAAGGUAACGGCUUACCAAGGCGACGAUACGUAGCCGACCUGAGAGGGUGAUCGGCCACACUGGAACUGAGACACGGUCCAGACUCCUACGGGAGGCAGCAGUAGGGAAUCUUCCGCAAUGGGCGAAAGCCUGACGGAGCAACGCCGCGUGAGUGAUGAAGGUCUUCGGAUCGUAAAGCUCUGUUGUUAGGGAAGAACAUAUGUGUAAGUAACUGUGCACAUCUUGACGGUACCUAACCAGAAAGCCACGGCUAACUACGUGCCAGCAGCCGCGGUAAUACGUAGGUGGCAAGCGUUAUCCGGAAUUAUUGGGCGUAAAGCGCGCGUAGGCGGUUUUUUAAGUCUGAUGUGAAAGCCCACGGCUCAACCGUGGAGGGUCAUUGGAAACUGGAAAACUUGAGUGCAGAAGAGGAAAGUGGAAUUCCAUGUGUAGCGGUGAAAUGCGCAGAGAUAUGGAGGAACACCAGUGGCGAAGGCGGCUUUCUGGUCUGUAACUGACGCUGAGGUGCGAAAGCGUGGGGAUCAAACAGGAUUAGAUACCCUGGUAGUCCACGCCGUAAACGAUGAGUGCUAAGUGUUAGGGGGUUUCCGCCCCUUAGUGCUGCAGCUAACGCAUUAAGCACUCCGCCUGGGGAGUACGGUCGCAAGACUGAAACUCAAAGGAAUUGACGGGGACCCGCACAAGCGGUGGAGCAUGUGGUUUAAUUCGAAGCAACGCGAAGAACCUUACCAAAUCUUGACAUCUUUUGACCGCUCUAGAGAUAGAGUUUUCCUCUUCGGAGGACAAAAUGACAGGUGGUGCAUGGUUGUCGUCAGCUCGUGUCGUGAGAUGUUGGGUUAAGUCCCGCAACGAGCGCAACCCUUAAGCUUAGUUGCCAUCAUUAAGUUGGGCACUCUAAGUUGACUGCCGGUGACAAACCGGAGGAAGGUGGGGAUGACGUCAAAUCAUCAUGCCCCUUAUGAUUUGGGCUACACACGUGCUACAAUGGACAAUACAAAGGGCAGCGAAACCGCGAGGUCAAGCAAAUCCCAUAAAGUUGUUCUCAGUUCGGAUUGUAGUCUGCAACUCGACUACAUGAAGCUGGAAUCGCUAGUAAUCGUAGAUCAGCAUGCUACGGUGAAUACGUUCCCGGGUCUUGUACACACCGCCCGUCACACCACGAGAGUUUGUAACACCCGAAGCCGGUGGAGUAACCAUUUGGAGCUAGC